CCUACGGGAGGCAGCAGUGAGGAAUAUUGGUCAAUGGACGAAAGUCUGAACCAGCCAAGUAGCGUGAAGGAUGACUGCCCUAUGGGUUGUAAACUUCUUUUAUAUGGGAAUAAAAUGUUCCACGUGUGGGAUUUUGUAUGUACCAUAUGAAUAAGGAUCGGCUAACUCCGUGCCAGCAGCCGCGGUAAUACGGAGGAUCCGAGCGUUAUCCGGAUUUAUUGGGUUUAAAGGGAGCGUAGGUGGAUUGUUAAGUCAGUUGUGAAAGUUUGCGGCUCAACCGUAAAAUUGCAGUUGAUACUGGCAGCCUUGAGUACAGUAGAGGUAGGCGGAAUUCGUGGUGUAGCGGUGAAAUGCUUAGAUAUCACGAAGAACUCCGAUUGCGAAGGCAGCCUGCUGGACUGUAACUGACGCUGAGGAGCGAAAGCGUGGGUAGCAAACAGGAUUAGAUACCCGAGUAGUC
rnacentral:rRNA from 1 species